AGGGCCUAAACAGAGAUAAAGCAUUCCAUGGGUACUCAGUAAGAAAUUUGUGCCAAUAACAAAAUUGGGAAAGUGGUACAAAGAAGUUUGUAAUGCCAUACAAAAUAGGAAAAAGAAGUAUUCCCUCCGUUUCAAAAUGUAGGGAGUAGGUCUUUAAUGAAAGGGGUCAAUACAAGAAACUGGAAUCCAUUCAGUCACUGUUUUUCAAAUGA